GGCGCGGUCGCCGAGUCGGUUCAGGCAAAAGCUUGCAAAGCUUUUUACGUAGGUUCGAAUCCUACCCGCGCCU
rnacentral:tRNA from 1 species